UCGCUCUGAUACCAAAUUGAUG
rnacentral:miRNA from 1 species